rnacentral:lncRNA from 1 species
CCCAAGGCGGCAACGGGUCCGCAGGACGCGCUCACCGAGGUUCAGCGGCACGUUUGUGGGCGCGCAGGAGAGCCCAGGACAGCCGGAGCCAAGGGCAGGCGGUGGAGCUCAGGGGUGGAACGAAGGCGAAGCCCAGGAUGGGACAGACGGCGGAGCCCAGGAUGGGACGGACGGCGGAGCCCAGGACAGGCGGAGCCAAGGGCAGGCGGCGGAGCCCAGGACAGGACAGGCGGCGGAGCCCGGCAGGCCGCCCCGGCCCAGCCCCUAGCGCCGCAGUCUAGACCCGGCGCCUCGCUCCUCUGAUUCUCAGACGCCUGAGGACUCGCUGUGGUCGUGUUCGGAGGCCGUCAGCUGAGACGGCGCCAGUUUUGGCUCAACUGAAAAGUAAACACCCCAGCGAGAAUCUCCCAAAUGCAGGGACUUGGGAAACUGUGCAAGAUGCCUUGCUAAGUGAACAGAGCCAUGGGAACAACUCUAUCAUAAAAUACUGAGCACCUUCAAUGGAGUCCUGUGUGUGGUGCACCCUGGCAUGUGACAAGAUGCCCAUUGUUCUGACCCACUGCUGGAAUUGGGCUGUAUCUCUCCUUAAACAAAGUACAAUUUUCUCUUUGUAUCCAUAAGGUUAGAUCCUGGGAUGUACAUUCACACUAGAGAGAGCUUUUGACAUCUUGCUGGCAGAAGACUAUAGGGAAAUUAAUAAUAAUUUAUUCUCAGUUCAAACUUUUGAUACCAGUAUUCACAGGCUGCCC